rnacentral:rRNA from 1 species
AGUGGACGCUGGCGGUAGGCCUAACACAUGCAAGUCGAACGGCAGCACAGUAAGAGCUUGCUCUUACGGGUGGCGAGUGGCGGACGGGUGAGGAAUACAUCGGAAUCUACUUUUUCGUGGGGGAUAACGUAGGGAAACUUACGCUAAUACCGCAUACGACCUACGGGUGAAAGCAGGGGAUCUUCGGACCUUGCGCGAUUGAAUGAGCCGAUGUCGGAUUAGCUAGUUGGCGGGGUAAAGGCCCACCAAGGCGGCGAUCCGUAGCUGGUCUGAGAGGAUGAUCAGCCACACUGGAACUGAGACACGGUCCAGACUCCUACGGGAGGCAGCAGUGGGGAAUAUUGGACAAUGGGCGCAAGCCUGAUCCAGCCAUACCGCGUGGGUGAAGAAGGCCUUCGGGUUGUAAAGCCCUUUUGUUGGGAAAGAAAAGCAGCAGGUUAAUACCCCGCUGUUCUGACGGUACCCAAAGAAUAAGCACCGGCUAACUUCGUG